UCAUCUUCUCUGGUAAGCUGGACUGCUGGAGCAAACCAUGGUGGGCGCAGGGGGUGAACUUGGCCGUGGCCCCUUCCUCGGGCACCUUCUCUCUCGCACAUGCAUCAUUGAGCAAGUCGAAUAACUCAGCCUCGCACUUCCUCGCCAGACCAGAUUCAUGGCAAGCGGCUGUCCGGUGAAGUUGGCCGAGCAGGUGGAGCGGGUCGACCCUGGAUCCAAGCGAGGACUGGACGCUCGCCGGCCCCGACGACCACUGCUGCAAAACUUUCUUUCCCCUCUCGUUCAGGGACUUCACGAACAAGAAGCAGCUAGAGAUUCUACAUGCAGGAAUUCAUAGAUCAUUAGAUUAGGAAUUCGUGCACUUGUUCAAUUGAUCCUCUGCUUCGCCCUCUGGGUUACAAGUUUGUUAUCUACCUGUGAUUGAUUUUCUUUGAUGCGCUUUCAGAUGACGCAGUUUAUUUUCUGAAUUUCUAAGUCGAUAAUUGAUUCAUUAAAAUUACGCAA